rnacentral:lncRNA from 1 species
UUUUCAGUUUGCCACUCUCUUUCAAGAUCAGACGUUUGUUUGUUAAGGGUCUUUUGUCUUAGUUUUUUAUUAGUCUUUCACUCCUUUCUCCCCUGAUCAAUCCUUAUAUUAUUAAAAUCAGCUUACAAGAAAAUCAAUUUCUUUUUCUUUUCUUUUAUUAAUUCAACCAAUUCAAGGGUAUUACUGAAUGUGGCAAUCCAACCAAUGGUCCCUUGGUAUUUUCUCUCCAGCUCAGGAGCAGUUCUGUUAAACUAUAAAUAUGAUUUUGGUCAAC